AUUGAACGCUGGCGGCAGGCUUAACACAUGCAAGUCGAGCGGAGAGAGGUAGCUUGCUACUGAUCUUAGCGGCGGACGGGUGAGUAAUGCUUAGGAAUCUGCCUAUUAGUGGGGGACAACAUUUCGAAAGGAAUGCUAAUACCGCAUACGUCCUACGGGAGAAAGCAGGGGAUCUUCGGACCUUGCGCUAAUAGAUGAGCCUAAGUCGGAUUAGCUAGUUAGUGGGGUAAAGGCCUACCAAGGCGACGAUCUGUAGCGGGUCUGAGAGGAUGAUCCGCCACACUGGGACUGAGACAAGGCCCAGACUCCUACGGGAGGCAGCAGUGGGGAAUAUUGGACAAUGGGCGGAAGCCUGAUCCAGCCAUGCCGCGUGUGUGAAGAAGGCCUUAUGGUUGUAAAGCACUUUAAGCGAGGAGGAGGCUACUUUAGUUAAUACCUAGAGAUAGUGGACGUUACUCGCAGAAUAAGCACCGGCUAACUCUGUGCCAGCCGCCGCAGUAA
rnacentral:rRNA from 1 species